rnacentral:rRNA from 1 species
AUUGAACGCUGGCGGCAGGCCUAACACAUGCAAGUCGAGCGAGCGGCGGACGGGUGAGUAAUGUAUGGGGACUGCCCGAUAGAGGGGGAUAACUACUGGAACCGGUGGAUAAUACCGCAUACUAUCGGAUAACCCAUAGUGGAUUAGCUAGUAGGUGGGGUAAAGGCUCACGUAGGCGACGAUCUCUAGCUGGUCUGAGAGGAUGAUCCUCCACACGUGUAUGGAGACACGGCCCAGACUCCGACGGAGGCAUCAGCGGGGAAUAUUGCACAAUUGGCUCAAGCCUGAUGCAGCCAUGCCGCGUGUAUGAAGAAGGCCUUAGGGUUGUAAAGUACUUUCAGCGGGGAGGCGUUACCCGCAGAAGAAGCACCGGCUAACUCCGUGCCAGCAGCCGCGGUAAUUC